ACUUUUAAAGGAUAAAAGUAAUCCAUUGGCCUUAGGAGCCAAAAAAU
rnacentral:tRNA from 1 species